rnacentral:rRNA from 1 species
UACGUAGGGUGCGAGCGUUAAUCGGAAUUACUGGGCGUAAAGCGUGCGCAGGCGGUUCGUUGUGUCUGUGGUGAAAGCCCCGGGCUUAACCUGGGAAUGGCCAUGGAAACUGGCGAGCUGGAGUGUGGCAGAGGGGGGUGGAAUUCCGCGUGUAGCAGUGAAAUGCGUAGAGAUGCGGAGGAACACCGAUGGCGAAGGCAGCCUCCUGGGAUAACACUGACGCUCAUGCACGAAAGCGUGGGGAGCAAACAGG